rnacentral:rRNA from 1 species
GGAUUUAUNGGGCGUAAAGCGAGCGCAGGCGGUUAGAUAAGUCUGAAGUUAAAGGCUGUGGCUUAACCAUAGUACGCUUUGGAAACUGUUUAACUNGAGUGCAGAAGGGGAGAGUGGAAUNCCAUGUGUAGCGGUGAAAUGCGUAGAUAUAUGGAGGAACACCGGUGGCGAAAGCGGCUCUCUGGUCUGUAACUGACGCUGAGGCUCGAAAGCGUGGGGAGCGAACAGGAUUAGAUACCCUGGUAGUCCACGCCGUAAACGAUGAGUGCUAGGUGUUAGGCCCUUUCCGGGGCUUAGUGCCGCAGCUAACGCAUUAAGCACUCCGCCUGGGGAGUACGACCGCAAGGUUGAAACUCAAAGGAAUUGACGGGGGCCCGCACAAGCGGUGGAGCAUGUGGUUUAAUUCGAAGCAACGCGAAGAACCUUACCAGGUCUUGACAUCCCGAUGCCCGCUCUAGAGAUAGAGUUUUACUUCGGUACAUCGGUGACAGGUGGUGCAUGGUUGUCGUCAGCUCGUGUCGUGAGAUGUUGGGUUAANNNNNNCAACGAGCGCAACCCUUAUUGUUAGUUGCCAUCAUUCAGUUGGGCACUCUAGCGAGACUGCCGGUAAUAAACCGGAGGAAGGUGGGGAUGACGUCAAAUCAUCAUGCCCCUUAUGACCUGGGCUACACACGUGCUACAAUGGCUGGUACAACGAGUCGCAAGUCGGUGACGGCAAGCUAAUCUCUUAAAGCCAGUCUCAGUUCGGAUUGUAGGCUGCAACUNG